rnacentral:rRNA from 1 species
CCUACGGGAGGCAGCAGUAAGGAAUAUUGGUCAAUGGAGGCAACUCUGAACCAGCCAUGCCGCGUGCAGGAAGACGGCCCUAUGGGUUGUAAACUGCUUUUGAACUAGAGAAAACCUUGGUACGUGUACCGAGUUGAUAGUAUAGUUAGAAUAAGCAUCGGCUAACUUCGUGCCAGCAGCCGCGGUAAGACGAAGGAUGCAAGCGUUAUCCGGAUUCAUUGGGUUUAAAGGGUGCGUAGGCGGACUGAUAAGUCAGUGGUGAAAUCUCUCAGCUUAACUGAGAAACUGCCAUUGAUACUGUUAGUCUAGAGUACAGAUGAUGUGGGCGGAAUAUGACAUGUAGUGGUGAAAUACUUAGAUAUGUCAUAGAACACCGAUUGCGAAGGCAGCUCACAAAACUGUAACUGACGCUGAGGCACGAAAGUGCGGGGAUCAAACAGGAUUAGAUACCCUGUAGUCCGCACCGUAAACGAUGAUUACUCGUUGUUGGCGAUAUGACAGUCAGCGACCAAGCGAAAGCGANAAGUAAUCCACCUGGGGAGUACGCCGGCAACGGUGAACUCGAAAUAGAGUAGACGGNGNGAGAGNGCGACGGACGACACGAGGGGAGGAGG